UGGUCAGAAGUGAGAUUCAAACCCACACCUAAAAGAGUAGACUGCGACCUGAACACAGCGCCUUAGCCCGUUCAGCCAUCCUGUC